rnacentral:lncRNA from 1 species
ACAAGUUGACACAGGCUUAUAGUGAUCCAACAUUCUUGGGUAAAAGGGCAUUCUAGGAGAAGAUGGAACAGAGUUUCUUCCUUAUUAUGUGCACACACUUUGCCACCUUUCCUCCUAAACAAACACUUUGCGGCCGGCUCGAUUAAUAAACAGUUCGACAGAAACUAAUUGUAAAGUGCGAUUUUUUUUCAAGGAACAUAGGAAGAGACUAGUCCAACAUAUGCAUGUGAUGGUAUCCAACAUCCAUGAUUUUUUUUCCUUACGGGGUUUUUUGUUUUUGGCAACUCUCGUCACGUCCGGGAAGAGAGUAGCUCCUGGGACUGUAGAGUUGUUUUCACUAUGCCUAAUCGUACAUGAACUGAACUGCUCGAUAAGAUAGCUCCAGCAAACUCCCGGACCACCUAAAACAUCUUAUAUUGUGGGACCCAGUAUGAUGUUUCAGCCUUUAGGUGCAUUUCCCCACUCAAGGAAAAAAAACUCAUUGAUGCUGAACUGCUCUCCAAAUAAAUGGCACGAUGUGCUGACACUUUGAUGGCGAGCCGGUGGUGUUUGGAUACACCCCACUAAAAUUUAGCACCUGCCACAUCGGAUGUUUGAAUGCUAAUUAGAAAUAUUAAAUAUAGGCUAAUUACAAAACUAAUUGCACAUGGAGUCUAAUUCACGAGACAAAUCUAUUAAAACUAAUCAGUCCAUGAUUUGAUAAUGUGGUGCUACAGCAACCAUUUGCUAAUGACAGAUUAAUUUAGCUUAAUAGAUUCGUCUCGCGAAUUAGCACAAGUUCCGUAAUUAGUUUUAUAAUUAGCUUAUGUUAGUCCUCCUAAUUAGCCUCCGAAUAUUCAAUGUGAUACUGCUAAAAUUUUGCACUAAUGUCCAGGCAACCCCUUAGCGUCGGCGUCUCAACGUCGCUACUCCGCAAAUAUCUCUGCCAUGGCUGCGGAAUAUCGCCGGCAACUCGCUGGCCGGCGGCCACGCGUCCCAUGAAUCUCGAUCGCACAGUGCAGAGCCCUCUCGGAAGACGCAGCAAGAGAAUCCACUGAUCCACAGCAAAAGGGCACGUCAACAUGGACACUUGUAGUAGUGUCCGAGACGGCGCUCCAUCCCGCUCCGUUGCCGCCGUCACGUCGUUCAGUGUCCAUUCCAUUCGCGACGUCGUCAUCACGCACGGCCGAUGAGAGCCAAUCACGAACGGCUAUCCCACACCUCCGACGGAAAAAAUAUCUUCGCAUCCCCUGGAACUGGAAUGGAAUGGAUUCAUUGCUGCGUCAUCUUGUCUGUUAUAUUACCUCCACUGGCCAAUCAGCAUAUCCUCCCCCGACCCCAAUCAUGCAAUCGCCCAAUCGCUUCUUGGGCUCCAAGCGUCACCAGUGGCGUCACGGUUGUAGUUUGGUACUUUGGUUCACUGCAAAUGCAGGGCUUCCCAGGUUCAAAUUUCGCUCAACACGUGCAACAGGAGGAGGAUUCCAAGACUAGUGGCACAACAAUCGUCUGAACAUAAUCUCAGGGGCUGUUUGGAUACGAGGUGCUAAACUUUAACAGUGUCACAUCGGAUGUUCGGAUGCUAAUUAGGAGGACUAAACAUGAGCUAGUUAUAAAACUAAUUGCAAAACCUUGUGCUAAUUCUCGAAAAUCAUCUAAUCCACAUAUUCCUACAGCCUGUGCCAACUAGAUGCCAGAGAACUAGUGCUUCCUCCGUUCCACUUGUAUAAACGUAUAGCUAUUCUACAUUGAUAAAACUUAAUGGACGUUAGACGUACCCUANNNNNNNNNNNNNNNNNNNNNNNNNNNNNNNNNNNNNNNNNNNNNNNNNNNNNNNNNNNNNNNNNNNNNNNNNNNNNNNNNNNNNNNNNNNNNNNNNNNNCCUUGGGGGAGAAUUUCGAAACCUCCGGUUAAGUUUACCACCUGUCACAUCGGAUGUUUGGAUGCUAAUUAGGAGGAGGAACCAUGAGCUAAUUACAAAACCAAUUGCACCAAUGUAGAUAAUUCGCGAGACGAAUCUAUUAAGCCUAAUUAAUCCAUCAUUAGCAAAUGGUUACUGUAGCACCACAUUGUCAAAUCAUGGACUAAUUAGGCUUAAUAGAUUCGUCUCGCGAAUUAUACUCCAUUUGUGCAAUUAGUUUUGUAAUUAGCUUAUGUUUACUACUCCUAAUUAGCAUCCAAACAUCCGAUGUGACAGGUGUUAAACUUUAACAGGUGUUUCCCAAACACCCCCUCAGGCUUAUGCUGCGUUUGGAACGCACGGAUGUUUCUUGAUUUUUCAGAAACUAAUCUUAUUUACCACUCCAUCCAUUUUAAAUUAUAGUUCGCUCUAAUUUUAUUUAAUUUUAUUCUAAGUUAAACUUUUAUAAAUUUGACCAGUUUUGUGUAAGAAAACCUACAACAUCAAAUUAAAUUCACCGAAUUCACCAUAAAUAUGUCUUAACUUCAAUUGUUUGGUAUACUGUAAUUUUAUUAUAUUUUUUAUAAAAUUAGUUAAUAUUUAAAAGAAUUGAUUUAGAACGAAACUAAAGUGAAGGGUGGUACGGAAUUUUUGUGCUCUGCACAUGUACUUAGGUUAAGUUGGACGACCAAAACUCCAAGCUGUUGAGUCAUAAUAAAAGGAUCAAGAAUAAAGUGGGUCACUGAUUAUUUAGAUUUCGGCACAAAAUAGUGGGGUAGGUUAAAGUAAACAAAUUAUCCAAAAAUGAAGGGGCCCAAAGGAGUAUAUAAGACCUGGCACCCAAAUCUGCUCGCGCCCGCCGGCCAGUGCCUAUAUCUCGCCUCUGCGGCUCAGCCUCACUCCCUCUCAACAGACCCAGUAAAAUAUUUCCCAUUCCGUCGGCGAGAUGGCCCACCGCCGCCUGCUCGUCCUCGCCGUCCUCGCCCUCGCGGCCACCGCCGCCGCGGCCAAGUCCGGCUUCGCCGAGUCCAACCCGAUCCGCCCCGUCACCGACCGCGCGGCCUCCGCGCUCGAGUCCACCGUCUUCGCCGCGCUCGGCCGCACCCGCGACGCGCUCCGCUUCGCACGCUACGCCGUCAGGUGAGCACCCCGGUCGUCUAAUCCAACGGCCCAACCCGCCCGCCGUCCGCUCUCCCGUCGCGUUUCUCCUGACCGCACGAAUUGACCCGCCGGCGGCGGCGGCGGCGGUGUGUGACGCAGGUACGGCAAGAGCUACGAGAGCGUGGCGGAGGUCCACAAGCGGUUCCGGAUCUUCUCCGAGAGCCUCGAGCUCGUCCGCUCCACAAACCGGAAGGGCCUCCCCUACCGCCUCGGCAUCAACCGUAGGACCUUGACCUCCUCCUUCCUCCUCGUCCAAUCUGCAACGCGCGCUCCAGCGCAAUCCCGGAUUCUCACACGUUUCUCAUCCGUGGCUGAUUUUUAGGCUUCGCGGACAUGAGCUGGGAGGAGUUCCGCGCGACCCAGCUCGGCGCUGCGCAGAACUGCUCCGCCACGCUCGCCGGCAACCACCGGAUGCGCGCCGGCGCCGCGCUCCCGGAGACUGUAAGUUACUGCUGAAACUGCUCGUCACAGAAAAUCCCCUAUCGUAUUGUAACGUAGCGGUUUGCUCCCAAACGGGCGGGACGAGUAGGUUGCAGCCAGGUAGGUACUGUGAUUUGUAACCGCAUGAGUCACAUGGGAGACAGGCUUGCGUGGGUUCAGUUUAUUUAGGCUUAAAAGGGAGUUUGUGGUAUGAAGCUUGUGAGUGGCUGCAGGAUUUGCUCAUUGCUUUCGUGCUGUGUGGUGUCAAGUGUUUGGCUAUUUGCUCAGCCGGCUCCACCACGAUGAGAAAUGUCUUUUAGCCACUUUCAUCCUUGGUCCCGGCACAUGAUGCAGUUACUCCUCAGAUGACCCCUCUUUCUAUCUAUGUCAACUGAACUUCCCUACAGCUGGUUGUGUCUCCGUAUUCCAAGAAAACUGCAAAACUGUUUAGUGAUUAAUUGACUAAUUUGUAUGGAAAUGAGGUGGAAUGGUAGAGUUCAUGCUUGUCACUUGUUAGUAAUUAUUUUAAAGGAUAUUGGUGCAGCAAUUCUGUCAUGCAUCGUACAUGUAAGGUUGUGGUCCUUGCAGUUUAGAUCUGAGCCAUGCGAGGUAGUUACAAUUAAACAAUUACAAUUAGUUUUGGAUGCUGUAAAUUUUAGACAUUCUGCGGGAUAUGUGUGUGAUGUUGCUCUGGCUGUUGCAGAAAGACUGGAGGGAGGAUGGGAUCGUGAGCCCAGUGAAAAACCAGGGCCACUGUGGAUCUUGCUGGACCUUCAGGUAACUACUGAAAAAUCAGCACCCUCUUUCCCGUUCUCUCAUUUCGUAUCGUUCUUAGACAAAACUGGAGGAAGAGUUUGUCAUUACUGCUGUGCCUUCUUCCACAGCGCACUAAAAAGUAAUGGUAUAAGGGAAUUAUUUCUGUGAUGGUUGUUUGGUGCAUCCUUACUCUACUAGUAAAAGGUGCCUAUGAUAUCCGACAGGAAGUACUAAUUGGAGUCUGCAUCCAAAUUGCUUGCAUGGGCCUCGUGUCCUUUAAAUUGAUCGUGGUUUUGAAAGUAAAAAGGGUGGGGCAGUUUCAAAACAUGCUGCUUCUAGUAAAGAAUUUAAAACUACUUUAGGUGUGGUCCACCUGUCCAGGAUGGGUGCUGAUAAAUAUAUCUAUUGGUGAAGCUGAUAAUUGCUUGCUGUCAAGAGUAGUAGUUCAGAUCUUUCACCACAGAAACAAUCACAAGACUAUUUAAAAAAUAUAUUUUUGAAAGAAAGAAAUGAUUAAAAAUGUUCAGCAGGGGGAUUAAACUACUGCACUCGUGAGACAUGCAGGCAAUUAAAUAAUUGGAUCAACCAACCAACCCGUUCUGUUGGGCUAUGCUUUGCUUUCAGAUCUGUUCCAGUAGUCAACCCAUGAUUAUUUUGUGAAACUGUUCAUGUUUCCUGCCAACUAAAUUCAUUAGCAAAUAAUAGUUCUAAUUUAAUAUUGCCAAUGCAUUAUGAAGCUUUGUAUGCAUACAUGCUAAUGCAUUAUACAGUAUUAUCCUAUAGUGCAAGCGCAGAGGUCCGUGGAGACUGCUACAUAAAUUACACGAAAAAAUAAUCAAUUAAUAUCUAAGGAAAAUUAAUUGCUGCAAUGCAAGUCCAACUGGCCGGUUGAUCUGAAUACUUGUAAUAAAUUAACAUAUUAAUGAGAGCCGUUAUACAGACCAGAGUCUCUAAUAAAGAUGCCACUCUGAUCCCCUGUAAAAGUUUGUGUUCAUGGAUGAUAUCCUUGAGGGAGUGUAUUCAUAGUGAAAAGUUAAGUCAGUAUCACUCUAAUUUUGUGCUUUGCAACAUUUUUGUGUCUAUCUUCUCCUUUUAGGACAGAAAAAAAUCAACAAAUCACAAUGCAAAUCUGGUAGACACAAAGUGAUAGAUAGAUAGAGAAACAAGGUCACUCAAGAGAUAAAUAGACACAUCAUAUUCUUAGUGUCAGAGUAUUCUAAACUUUCAAGGUUACUUUGUUUGAUUACUCCUUUAUUCAUGUCAAUUUAUUCAGAGGUAGAUGAAUAGCAUAAAGUUUUUUAUUCUGAGAGUUGAUUUGUAGUUUUGAUUUUUUGUGAUUGAUUGGUCUGUAUUUCCCUUCUGCUAUUCCUGAAACUGAAUAGAUAUCAUUUUUGCUAUUGGAUUUUUCUCACCAGCAUCCAGUUCCAAACUGUUGCCAAAGAUAGAAAUGAUAUUGGACCACAGCUUCAUGGUGAAAAGGAAUCCAUGUCAAGAAACUGUGUUAGCACUUAUACAUCAAUCCUGAAAUAACCUACAAUCGUAUUAUCAGAUUUAUUCCUCACAAACAAAGAGGCAAAGGGCAAACGCAUGUAGGGAAAUUUCAUAGAAUGUUGAGGCACUGUAGUGUCAACUUCUUCUAAACUAACAAAAAUAAUUAAAAAUGAAUCAAUAUUUCAGGGACAUACCACAAAGCUGAUAUAUAUUGCUAGCUUUUGAUGACAUUAUUGGAUGGUCAUGUUGCAGUUACAAAAAUAAGAGAUAAAGUUCUUAAGCAUUUGAAUAUAAUUCAGUUAUUUUUUAAGCUGUCUACCAUUAGCCAUUUCUUAUAUUUCCUAUUGCAUGCUCUUUUUGCACUUUUCUUAUCUGCCGUGCACAGAAAUGGCCAUCUCAGCAUGCUUUCUGAAAGUAGGAAAAGGGGGUAGUGCAGACAAAAUAAUUAAAUUCCUCUGAUGCUUAUUCUGGCAGCACUACUGGUGCACUUGAGGCAGCAUACACCCAGGCAACUGGCAAGCCCAUCUCUCUUUCUGAGCAACAGCUUGUUGAUUGCGCUGGUGCAUACAACAAUUUCGGAUGCAACGGAGGCCUUCCAUCCCAGGCCUUUGAAUACAUCAAACACAAUGGUGGUCUUGACACUGAGGAAUCUUACCCAUACCAGGGUGUAAAUGGAGUCUGCCAUUUCAAGGAUGCAAAUGUUGGAGUCAAAGUUUUGGACUCAAUUAACAUCACCCUGGUGAGGAGAACCUCAUUCUAAAUUUCAAUUGAGUGUUAUCUACAAUGAACUAUUCUGAGUUUGUACUUAUUUCUGUUGUUGUGGUAAGGGUGCUGAGGAUGAACUGAAGGAUGCUGUUGGUCUGGUUCGCCCCGUUAGCGUCGCCUUCGAGGUGAUCAAUGGUUUCAGGCUGUACAAGAGUGGAGUUUACACUAGUGACCACUGUGGAACUACUCCAAUGGUUAGUUACAAUAUCCUUGUGUCAUCAACCUACGCUACCAUUUGAUUUGCUUAUGUAGAAUUUGUCUUUCAAUUGCUCCUAUCCAAUCACGUUAGGACUUAUUUUUAGAUGAAGGAAGUAUAACUUCCAGCCUCUGCACCAACUAAGUAUACACGCAGCUAAUCACGUUAGGACUUCUUGUUAUCCAGUUGCUUUGAUCUUAAACUAUGAAUUCUUUUGGCAUCACUAGGAUGUGAACCAUGCUGUUCUGGCUGUUGGCUAUGGUGUCGAAAAUGGUGUCCCCUACUGGCUCAUCAAGAACUCAUGGGGCGCUGACUGGGGUGAUGAGGGUUACUUCAAGAUGGAAAUGGGCAAGAACAUGUGUGGUAAGUAUUCCAUAUUCACUUCCAUAACCUCUCUAUACAAAGAGAGAUCUUGCGUUUCAGAAUGUGGUGCGCUCGUGACAUGAUACUGACCUGACUCAAAAUGUUGCAGGUGUUGCUACUUGUGCGUCGUACCCCGUUGUUGCGGCAUGAGGCUCGCACGGAUUGCCCCAUGGUUUGCUUGGCGUCAAUAAUACAUGUUUAGCCGGAGCAUGGUGAUAGGUUAUAUAAAUACCUUGAUGUGAAUAGAAAAUCGUGAAGGGAAUGAAUUAGCCCCUGCUUGUACGUCUCUCCCGUAUGGUUGUGUAGGUAGAUUGUCAGCUGGGGGUUCCAAACUACUCAUACUAUACGUGUCCAUGCUAUUUUAUUGAGACGAAAUUACCAUUAAUCAUGGUACCAUAUGCAGAUUAUUGAUCGUCAUGUUCAUGUCUGAAUUAUCUUCAUUUGGGUUCAGUUCCUCUACAUUGUUUUUCUAGUGGUUCGUUUACAUUGUUUGAUUUGAAAAACGAGCUACCAUUUUUUAGAUAAAGGAUAGAAAUCCGGCUUUUAUAUCCACAUGCAAAGACUAAGAAAGAAAGUUAGAAAGACUACGCUUCAAACUUCUUCUACUACGUCCUUGUUUCAAGUUUUCAAACUUCUUCUACUACGUCCUUGUUUCAAACUUGUUUUUAUUUGUGCAUCAGUCAUCCUUCGUAUCACUCGUCUACUUCGAAACUUUGAUGCUAGAAUCAUCCUCAAGCACCCGACAACAUUCCCACUGAACACAAUCGUCAACACAAGAGAAGUCACGACGGUAAGAGCUACUUACGGUGAGGGAAGCAACACCGUAUAUAGGAUCCCCAGUAAGAACUACUUACAGUGAGGGAAACAACACCGUACAUACAUAGGAUCCCCAAACGACGUCUCCAAUGAGGUCACGACGUUGGAGACGCUGCCGCCACAAUCGGCCAAUCAAAAGCCGACCAACCGGAAUAGAGUUUUCAUUGGGAAAUCCAACAAUACCACGGCAAGGCCUUCGAGAAGAAAAACGACGCCUGACAACGCCACCAUUACCGACACCAGCAUAUUAGCAUAUACUAGGGUAAAACCUUUUCGCCUGGUAAUUCUGCACAGUUACAAUCCACCGGAAGCGCCCGACACACCAUGACCACCGAAGGCCUGCUGCUAGGACCACCCAAGGUGGUGUUGAGUGGGUUCUUGGGUGCAGAGGUCCGUAUAUAAAUUCAUUCCACUAUUCUAAAAGUUGUCUUAUUAAAAUAAAAAAUAAAAGGUGGGAGUAAUAUGGACCAACAAACACAUACGGUAACUUUUGCAUUUCGUCAUCAAAUUGACGUGCCUACGGUCUACCCAUGUGAAACAGUAGCUGAACGAUUUUGGUCUAUAUUUAUGCAUCCGCUUAAUGAGCAUUACGAGCGACCAAAUUUGAAACCCGCUGUGAAAUAGAACACGCAGCAAACCCGUGGAAGGGUGCCUCUUCACCUCCCGGCUGUUCGAUCGGUUCCCCACCGAAGGGAGGUGCCCCUUCGUGUGAACCAGCGCAUCUUUUCACCGCGGUCUUUUUACCACACUCAACCACGGCUAGUGUCGCCUACAUAUAUGCGAUCCCCAUUCGGCCAUAUAUUCCUGCGUCUUCGACUCUUCGUUUCAUCAAUCCUGGCACCGUCGUCGCAGUCCCAACAUCCACAAGAGGGCACAGCACUGAUCCACACCAAACUGGUGAGUUUCUUGAUUCCUACAAGUCCUGUCGAGCUCCCCUUCUUUUCUUUCUGCUACUGGAUUUUGCGAAGUCCUUCCGUGAGUUCGUUCUCUGACACAUCCAUCCACCGCAUUGAGAUCAUCAGUCAAGCCAGUUUUCGUGUUACAGUUUCAUUCCAUUCUGUUGAACUCCCUUUGAUUUUUUUUUCCUGUCAAACGAAUUCCCUUUGAAUCUUAAAAUGUUGCGUUGGCCGUGGUUCGUGCUUCGAUCGUUCGAUUGUUCAGAGCACCAAAUCCUGAAUUCCUGGUGUUCAUGUGACAUGUGUCUGACUGACAUGAGCGGUGAGUCCAUAGGCGAAUUGGGGGAGUAGAAACUGUUCAGCUCCAGCUGGUCUCGGCCCGUUGGGCCUGCGAUCUGCCGAUCUCCGAGCCUUGCGGCGUAAGCCAUCGUCACCACCUUACAUUAGCGCCGACUUAACCGCGAUUAACUGGUUGCUUAACUAAAAGCUUCCUUGCUGGGAACGGCACCUGACCAAUAAAACGGCAGGAGAUCCUACAAAGGCCUGAUCAACUCAGUCGUCGGCAUCGAUCCCAUUACCUUGUCAAUCACUCCCAUUUGCGCGUGUCAGUGAGAGUGGGUCCCUUUCACCUUUGGUGUAAAAAGUCCAAAUCGACUCUGUUUUUCUUGGAAACAUUUUAUUCUUUUUAUUAUCCUCCCCUCCAUGUGAUGUGACGGCUUCCUCUGGAUCUCGCCCUUGCCUUGCCGGAGAAGAAACACAGCUGUGACCGCGACUACUUAACAGGAAGCCAUUCUCACGCCGCAGGGCCCAAGUUAGCAAGCACUCAGUUGCGCCGCCGUUGCCUUGCUUGUUCUUGGAUUCUUGUUGCAGCUAAUCGCUUUAGGUUGUUAUUACUAGCAUGGAUUUUCGUUGAUUUUUCGUCUGAAAUAGAAAUCGAUAACAACAAAAAACUCUUGAUGACGAUUAUAUGUUCGGGUUUUAUAAUCUUUAAUUCACAGCAUAUAACAAUCUGUAUCCGAUGAACGGGUUUUGAUGCUUCCCUUGUUCAAUCCUGGCAGGGACUGCGACUAUUAGCCCCUGAUUUUGACCUGCCACGAUCAAGCUCACUUCUUGACGGAACCAAGCUCAGUUACCAGUCGAAUCAUGACGAGAAACGCGUGGUCCGUGCUGCUGAUUUUGAUCUGUUUAUGGGUUUGCCCUCUGAGGACCAGUGGAUUCUCAUGGAACAUCUUCUCCUCCUCGUCGCCGGGCUCGUCGGCGAAGGCGGCUAACCAGCGCGCUCCAAUGAUGGAGCUAGAUGGCGCGGUGGCCGACUUCACCAUGGACGGCGCCAACAACCCGCGAGGGCUGAAGCUGCUGGAGAACGCGCAGAGCAAGCUCGCCGGGCCGAGGAACUGCUGGCAGGAGGCGUACCGGAAGCUUUUCGCCAGCUGCGGCGACAUCAUGGCGGAUAAGGAGAGGCAGUCACGCCUGGCCUGGCACCUCAGCAGCUGCUUCCAGGAGGACUCGGGGCGGCCGCCCUUCCCGUCCUGCGCCGAGGGCUCCAGGAUGGUCCAUUGCCGCAGCCGGCUGAGUGAUUCCGAGGGGAAGGUGUUCCUUGAGUUCUUCCUCGAGACCAAUACCCUGUGCCACCAGUUGCAGUAAGUUUUUCUCUCUCUUAGUUUUCCAUUUUCAAAUUAGAUUUUUUUCAGUAAUAAAUCUGUCUGGUUGAUUUGUUCAGGGCUGAAGCGUUCAAGCACAACACAGAGAGGCUCGUCAAUGACCUGACAAGGACAUCCAAGUCUGCCGAGGAGAAGCUCGAGGUGAUCGAGGAGAGGUCAGAUCAAAUUAUUAAGGAGUCUGAAAAGGUUCAGGACAAGAUAUCAUCGAUCGAGGAACAAACCGACCGUCUGGCAGAGACGUCGAAGAACGUGGGGGAGCAGAUCAAUGACGUGCUGGAUCACUCGAAGGCCAUCUUUGAGCAGUCCAAGGAGAUCGCCAAAGCUCAGGCAGCCCUCAAGGAAGGGCAAACGGAGAUGAGGGAGAAGAUCGACGCAGGCAUGGCGCGCGUCGAGGAGUCGUAUGCGAGCCUUGGUAAAGGGAUGGAUAACCUGAAAGAGGAGACAGGAUACGUUAAGAGGGAAAUAAAAAGUGUUGGCGAUUCAAUGUCUUCAAAGAUGCAAGAUUUGCAGAGCAAGGCUGAUGAUAUUGGGAGUGUGGCUGGCAAGUCAUUGGAGAAUCAGAUGCAGCUGCUGGAUCGUCAGAGCCGGACCAUGGAAGGAUUGAAUAAUCUCCACAGCUUUCAAGCAAAAGCUCUUGAAGAAAGCAGGUAUUGUAUUUGUGUGCUGCUCAUUUUGUAUUAUUGUUCAUGGACGAAUUAUUAAUAUACAUCUGAAAAAAAAAGAUGCUGAUUAAACGAGCAUUUGCAGGGAAACAGUUCAGAAACUUGCGCAGUUUGGCCAACGCCAGCAGGAAGAGCUAUUGGCCCGGCAAGAACAGAUCCGGCAAGCCCACGAUCAUCUCAUCCAAAACUCGCACUCAAUACUGGAAGCACAGGUUCUUAUCCAUCUCAUUCUGAAAAAUCUAAAUAAUUUUGUCCCAUUUGGGUCUUCAAAUCUCCCACCUACUUAUUGAAUUUUUCACCCGCAGGAAGAGUUCAGAGCAAAGCAGGCCAACAUUUUUGCCGCUCUGGAUAAACUGCACAUCCUGCACAACGCCAUCCUAGCCGAGUCUCGCUUCAUCAAGGCAUUCUUCUUCUACUGCUGCAUCGUGUUCCUCAUCUACAUGCUCACUAGUGCAAAGCAAACGUUCAGCAUCAGGGGCCAGCUCUACUUUGGUAUGAUUUCAUCCCUGUAAUUCACAGCUUCUAUGCUAGAGUUAAUUUCUACAUCAGGUGAAUGCCCAUUUUUGCUGACAUCCAUGUCUGCCCCGUCAGGUCUUUGCAUCACAUUAGUCCUGGAGAUUGGGCUGAUCAAGAUCGGCGCCGACGACUUCGACAAGCAGUUCUGGAUCAUGUCCAAGGUGUUCUUGGUCAGAAUGCUGUUUCUCGGGGUCGCCACUGUCCAGAUCCUUCACUCUAUAUUCACCUACAGGUAUGUCAGUAUGUGACAAACGAACUGCAUAUUCAGAAUUUCAGUAGCAUGUUGACCAAAACCGUUGCUGCAAUUUUAACUUGCUGAUUACCCUUCAGGGACUACGAGGCGCUGAACCACCGGCUCCUCCAGACGCUGGUGGAGAAGGUCCGGGCGCUGGAGAAGAACGCCGGCGGGAGGGCGCUGCCGUACGACACGGAGGAGAGCGAGGGGAGCCUGAUGGAUUACUCGUGGGUCUUCGACGAGCUGGCGGACGAGGUGGACAGCAAGGUGGAUCCAAGCUACGUGUUGCCGCCGGUGCGGCCGCCCCGGACGUGCCACGAGGUCGUGUUGCCGGAGGAGGUCGGCGAGAACUCCAUCACCACGUUGGUGGGCCGGAGGUACAAUCUACGGUCGCGGAAGUAGGCAUAGUUUUUGUGUUGGGAGGAGGCCUCUUAGGUGCCAAAUGAGAUGUUGACGAAAAUUUGUUCACAUGAUGUUUUAGCAUACUGUGAUGAAGCUACGAUCCCGAAAUAAAGUUACGCUGGAUUAAUAUGCAUAGUCAAAAUCUGAUUGAUUCGCCAUUGUUGUUCUAACGUUUGUUGAGUUUUCAUUCCCACGCUUCUUGUGAGAGAUGAUGAUCUUUUAACAGGAGAGAAGAUGCGUUAGAAGGGCCCAAGGAAGGCCUGAGUUUUCUCUACCUUUCAACGGCCCAGAACGAAAAGGCCGUUGAAGCAGCAGUCCAUCAGUCGCAGGCCGAGUUUGACAUGGGCCCGUUUCCUACCCAGAAAAAGGCUCAUCAGUCAUCACGAGCUCACGACAGGUCGACGGCAAACCUUUUUCCUCUAAUAAAAAAAACGACAGUAAACUUUUCGCCGCCAGCUACUACGACUGUCGCUGUACGGGUUGAUACUGUUAGAGUCGUAGAAGAAAAUACCGUACCAUCUCAAUCGAGAAAGCACGAAGAUAAAAGCUAUUUGCAGGCACCAGUUACCAGCUUAAAAAUUCAACCUAGGCAGUCAAAAAAGUUGACCCACAUGCAGCAAGCCGAACUGCACAGACCUGAGCCAUCGCGCUCCCCAAUCCCCAUCGUACUAUUUCCCAGUUCCCACACAUUUUCCCCGUAUACCACCAUUCACGCCGUACACGUACACGUCUUGAGUUGCUGGUACGCCACGGAACGGCACGUGUAGCCGGGUCAUCCCCGGCCAGUCGGCAGCCGCCACCUCGCGCCUGGUCCCCGGGCCCCGGCCACGUGCCGCCGCCGGGCGCGGCCGCUCCAGGAGCGCGCGCGCCGCGUGUCCCGCCGGAGCGGCACGGCCGCGAAGCCCGAGUGGGCAACGGCCGCGCACGCGCCGCGAGGUGCCGAGGUCCGGACCAGAGUACCAUACGCCCAUACCGAACCGUUUCGUCCUGCUCUUGCGUAUUGCGGUCUUGCCCGCCGAAAACGGAAAGGAACCGCUUCGUCAUGCUCCAGGACAGGACUCAUCCAUGUUCUGCGAGCUCAAAAGAAAGAAGAAAAAGGUCUCCUCCAGGUUCUGAGAGCUCGAAAGAGUGAGAGCUUCAGGUGUUUCCUCUCGUAAAAAAUCUCGCUGGUAGCUUCGUUUACUCACUGUCAUACGCCACACUGCAAUAACUCUAAGUUCCGUAAGUUCCGUUUGAAUGUCGGUAUUGGAAGACUAGACUUUGGUAUUGAAUUUAACUCAAUACCAGAUCGGAAAUAGCUCACAAUACCAAAACGAUUAUUUAGAUGCCUAUAAAAUUGCUUGAAGGAAUUCAACUAAGCUUCAAAUAUCCGAUCUUAUUUGGAUAUACAUACAGUAGAAUUGGCAUUGGCUAUCUUCUUCUCUCCGGAUCUCUAAGCGUGAAUGCAUACAUCCAAAUGUACAGUUUGAAAGCGGAAAUUAGAAUAGUGGUUUACGGUGAUUGGGUUCAGUCGGUGCCAAUAAACUUAUUCUUUAAUUAACGCCUGAUGGGAAAAUUUGCCCUCCGAAUCUCCGGGGCUUCUGCAACUGCCUAUGGGAGUUUUUGGGCGUGCAGGAACAGUGGAUUAGAAAAUGACCACCACGCCACUCCACACUCUUCUGCCUUCUAGAGAUAGUGGAGUAGCACCUUCUAGAAAAUCUUUUCUUAUUCUUUUUUUUUGUGCUGAUAUUUGUUUCGCAUUGCUUUUAUCACUAUGAUAAUGGCGUAUUAUAUUGGCAUCACAUCGGCCAUCAUUAGCUGUGGGCAGGGGACGUGAAUGAAGUUUUGGAUAGGGCGAACUUUAACAAAGACGCGUCUCGGUUUGUCCAAUGGCUUUAGGCGUAAAGUAGGUUACAGUAACACCACCAUGGAUGUCAUUACCCAUUUCUUUUGGAUAUAAAAAGCCGCUACCCGAGUAGGCGUCUAGUCGACAGACCUACUUUGGGGGUGUUUGGGAACACCCUAUUAAAAUUUAACACCUGUCACAUCGAAUGUUUGGAUGCUAAUUAGGAAUACUAAACAUAAGCUAAUUACAAAACUAAUUGCACAGAUGGAGUAUAAUUCGCGAGACGAAUCUAUUAAGUCUAAUUAGUCCAUGAUUUGACAAUGUGGUGCUACAGUAACCAUUUGCUAAUGAUGGAUUAAUUAUGCUUAGUAGAUUCGUCUCACGAAUUAGCACAAGGUUCUGCAAUUAGUUUUAUAAUUAGCUCAUGUUUAGUCCUCUUAAUUAGCAUCCGAAUAUCCGAUGUGACACUGUUAAAGUUUAGCACCUCGUAUCCAAACAGCCCCUUUGCAAUCGCAUCACAAGUAAGAUUUCUACCACCAAAUUUUAUUCUGUUGGCAAAAACAAAUCUUUCCAAACUCAGACAAAAUUUACGUCAAGAACUUAUGAUUGGCCGUGGAAACAGGUGCCACUACCUUUUUAGGAUUUACCCCCGAUCGUGGGUACAUAGAUCGCAAAGUCGGUGAAAUAUGAAGUGGCAAAUCUUCAGUUGCAAUGAAUUGGCAGUUACUAAUUGGAGAUGAGUAGUGCAGUACGAGUAGUACCAAUGAGUAAACAUAAGGUCAAGCCUGCACCAAAUCUAACCAGCUCAAGCAGUUUUCUUAAACUCUACUUUAGCGAGCUUGAAUUUAUGUCCUUGUUAUAAUUUUGAAAUCUCUCGAAGUUCAGGGAAAACAACAGCUAGAAUCUUUGAUCACCCUUGCCGAGAGGACCCAGCAAAAAAGGGCCAAAAUUCCGGCAACCCGGUAGAAGAUUCUUCCGGGAGGGGUAGUUCCGACAUUUCGGAAGCCAGCCGCCUUCCUAUAAUUAGCGAGGAGGGUCCCAGAUUCUUUCUCUUCACGCACACGCAGCAGCCGAAGCGACGCAACCCAGAGAUUUCCCCAUUUCUUGGCUUUCUCCUUGCUCUUCCCGCGAGCGCCCGCCCCCAAAUUCGCCCGCCUGAUCGCGCCGAGCUCAUUUUCCGGCGAAGAAUUCGUACUCUGCAGCUUUGAUUUGCCUCCAAUCUCAGCCGAUUUCCACCUCCAAAUAGUACAGCUUUUUUUUUUUGGUUCGAUUCAUUGUUGUUAUAGCAAGUAGAACACCAAAUUCGUCGACUUCAUCUCACCGAGAUCAAAAUCUUGGCACCGAAUUCUGUGCCCCACCACGGCUUCGACCCCAAUCCCGUCUGGUUACAGCUCGGAAUUCCCACUCCGAACCGUUGGACAAUUUGUGGUAACUGCAAGGAGUUUUGAGUUCGGGCGCUUCGAGCUCGUCGGAGGCAAACCGGAUUCCGGUGGCCAUGUCGUUACCCGCGAUUUCCCUGUACACUAGUCCGCCAGCUGCGGUCUACUCCGAGUUCGACACGAGCUCCCGUGGUUCGUCGCCGUGCACCACCGCCGCGCCGCCGCCGCCGGCCGCCUCCCACCGUCUGCCUGCCGGCGGCGGUGGCCUCUCUUGCCUUUUCUCCUCGCCAGCCGCGGCGGCUGCGCCGCCCCGCGCCCCGGCUCACGACGAGCUCGGCGCGCUGUGGCACGACAGAUCCGACGACCUGAGCGUCGGCGGCGGGGGCGGCUACUCCUACUCCCACUCGUCCUCACCGCUCAAGUGGCGGGACCUGCACCACCACCACCACCACAGCCCCGUAUCGGUGUUCCAGGGUCCGUCGUCCUCUUCGCCGUCCCGGAGCCCGCCGGCUUCUUGGCUCGCUGGCCGCGACCGCGACCGCCUCUUCGCUGGCUUCGUGCGCAACGCGCUCGGCUCCUGCGUUGACUACGCGCCGGCCACCAGCCCUCGGCCGGAGGUCGGCGCCGGCGAGCUCGCGUUCGAGCUCGACGAGAACCUCGCGGAGGCGAGCCCAGCCUGCGAGCCGUACGCCCGAGAGCUGCUCGCCAGUGCCCAGGAUCGCCACCGCAUCUUCCACGAGGAGGUCGUCGUGAAGGCCUUCUUGGAGGCUGAGAAGGCUCACCGUGGCCAGGUCAAAUCACAAAUUCCAACCUCUAGCUGGAAAUUGUCCGUUCCUGGAUAGUUUUGUGCGUUAGUUACUGAAUUUUUUUCUGCUUUUGUUCUGUCAUUAGACGCGGGCGAGUGGUGAUCCAUACUUGCAACAUUGUGUGGAGACUGCCGUGCUACUGGCCAAGAUAGGCGCAAACGCAGCGGUUGUCUCGGCUGGGCUUCUGCACGACACCAUUGAUGAUUCAUUCAUUGACUAUGAUCACAUCUUCCACAUGUUUGGUGCUGGGGUUGCUGAUCUCGUGGAAGGGGUACGUGUUCCUUCUCUCUUGGAUUUCGAUCAUUUGUUUUAGUGGGAUUGGAAAGUAUUGUAAUCAAGUUGUUGGCUGAAUCAAUUGCAAUUAUUUGAUCUCAAUUAUGAUGAUCUACUCCCUAUAUAUAUAUAUUCAAGUCAAUGAUUAUGUACUGAGUUCAUUUAACUUGUAUUAUCUUAUAAGCACCUAAUGAGAAAUGAUCCAUUUGGAUCAACCCAAUGUGUGACUUUGGUGAUAUGAUGUGAAUUGUUUAGCUAACCACAAUAGCACAUUGUUUAGUUUCUUGCAUUGUUCCUACAAUCACAGUGUCAAUAUAUUUUGUCAAUUUGCGCUGAGUUGCUUGCAUUCUUUUGUUGGCAUGUCCAUUUGAAAAGUUCACUUUUAUCUGGCACUAAGUUCUCUUGCUAGCUCCAUUGUCCUUAUGGUUUUUGUCUGAUUUGUUCAGGUUUCCAAGUUAAGCCACCUGAGCAAACUUGCUCGUGAUAACAACACAGCAAGCAGAACUGUUGAGGCAGACCGCUUGCAUACAAUGCUUCUUGCAAUGGCAGAUGCACGAGCUGUCCUAAUAAAGCUUGCAGAUCGCUUGCAUAACAUGGAGACCUUAGAAGCUUUACCUUUGACCAAACAACAAAGAUUUGCCAAAGAGACCAAGGAGAUUUUUGUGCCUUUGGCUAAUCGAUUAGGGAUUGCUAGCUGGAAGGACCAGCUGGAAAAUCUUUGUUUCAAGUAUUUGAAUCCAGAAGAGCACAAGGAGUUGUCAUCCAAACUUACAGAGUCCUUUGAUGAAGAACUAAUUACGUCUGCUGUGGAUAAACUUGAUAAAGGUCUGAGGGAUGCUGCUGUAUCAUAUCACAAUCUUUCUGGGAGGCACAAGAGCCUGUACAGUAUUCACUCCAAGAUGCUAAAGUAUGCCAAAUUUGCAUUGCAUAUAAUUUUAACUGUUUGAUAAUGAAAUAUUUUUUUGUGCAUUUGCUAACUGAAUUUAGUUAAAUUAUCAGGAAGAACUUGACAAUGGAGGAGAUACAUGAUAUACAUGGUCUGCGCCUCGUGGUUGAGAAGGAAGAAGAUUGCUAUAGAGCACUUAGUGUUGUUCAUAAAUUGUGGCCUCAAGUCACUGGAAGAUUCAAGGAUUACAUUUCACGUCCAAAAUUAAAUGGGUAUGCCUAGACUAAAAAAUUCAGUUUGUUCAUUGAUUUUUGCUUGAAAGAGCACGCACUGAUUUGCUUGCUACAGGUAUCGAUCAUUGCACACUGUCGUCAUGAGCGAUGGUGUUCACCCAUUUGAAGUCCAAAUUCGCACAAAGGAGAUGCAUCUGCAGGCCGAGUAUGGAUUUGCCGCGCACUGGAGGUACAAGGAAGGUACCUGCAGGCACUCCUUUGUGCUCCAAAUGGUGGAAUGGGCAAGAUGGGUUCUUACGUGGCAAUGUGAAGCGAUGAACAAAGAGCGGACUGCGUCGCUUGGCAGUAGUGAUACUGUGAGGCCACCUUGCCCGUUUCCCUUGCAUUCAGAGGACUGCCCUUACUCAUAUACCAGCCAAUGCAACCAUGAUGGACCCAUAUUUGUCAUCCUGCUGGAGCAUGAUAAGGUUAGCCUGGUUCUUUUUUAUUUUGUACAUGGUUCAUUGCAAAUGUUUAUGUUUGGACCAGUUAUCUGACGAACUUUGCACCGACAAUUUCAGAUGUCUGUCCAAGAAUUCCCGGCAAAUUCAACCGUGAUGGAUCUUAUGGACCGCAUCGGCGCCAACAGCCCAAGAUGGAGCCCCUACAGCAUUCCCAUGAAGGAAGAUCUGCGACCGAGGGUGAACCAUGAGCCCAUAAGUGACCCGAACCGGAAGCUCAGCAUGGGGGACGUGGUGGAGCUGACUCCGGCCCUGCCUCACAAGUCCCUCAGCGGGUACCGGGAAGAGUUCCAGCGCAUGUACGACCGCGGCGGCUUCGCCCUCGCAACCCGGGGCGGUGGCUCAAGACGCUGCUGACAGUAGCAAUUCAGUGUAGUUAACCUGUUGCAUCACCAUUGUACCAUUCAAAAUUCGUUGUAAAUACAUAGGCUAGGUCCUAGUACUCUACAGCCUGGUGGGUUCCGAAAUUUGUGGCUGGCCUGCGGUGGAUUUUGCACCCUGGCCUUGAACCCCCCGGAGGCUGCAGUGUGUAAUAGUAGCAGAAACGCUGUGUAGAGCUGUUCGUUUCGUUUCAGGUUUCUCCCAAGAUCUGUGGAGAGAAUGCCGUAGCUUCAGCUGUCCUUUGGGUGAUUAAGAUCUUGUGAUGUGAUGCGCCAUCAAGCAUUCAAGCUCUCGUGUGAGGGAAGCCGUGACAUCAGACUUUGCCGGUGGUGUCUGCACGGCGUCCAGGCACACGAGCUGUGUGGACCAGAAUCUAGCGGUGUCUGCUUCCCCGGUGUGGUGUAAGUUUCUGAAGAAUCUUCCGGUGUGGGAGAGGAAGGUCGGGGGUGCGAUUGGGAUCUCCCUUUGUGGCGCUCCAUGAAUCUCUCGCCGUGGGAGCCACCGCGCUUGUACACGUGGUUCGGUGGGGCGCGGCCCGGGGUUUGUGUCGCUCUGCCGCGAAACUUUCCAAAAGUUUUUGGUUGGUGGCGGCAGCGGCACCCGGCGUUGAACGUGGGAGGGGGACGGUUCGGCUGGCGCCGUUGCUCACGGCUCUACCGAAUCCUACCAGGCUACCAGCAAAGGUGGACUUGUGGGCUUGUGGCAUCUCGUUCUGGAAGCACACGAGGCCUAGUGGCAGUUAAAGUUCGUUUAGUGAUGUUAGUACACUAAUCUCACUCUCAAUUCUUCACUGACUGCAGGCCAAGCAGUUCAUUGGCGAUUGGAUUUCACUCUCCGAAUCUGUACGGCAAAUCGUCGGCGGCUAACCAGUAUCCUGAUGAGAAUAGUACGCAGUCAGCGGAUAAGAACGGGCGCGGUCGCCCCCUUUGCCGGCUACAGGCUACAGUUGAGGCGUAAACGUCUCGCCUCUACGCUCGCUACGUCUCCUCCACGUGGAGACGGACGGGACGGAGCGGGGCCGACUGCCUAGGCCGGAAACAGGCAGCUUUCACGGCGCGAUCGCCGGCCACUUGCGAAUUCCGCGCGCGAUCGCUCGCGGCCACGUUCGUCGGACCGCGCCGGGGAGGUGGCCGAUAGGGAGAUUUGGGUGAGGGUUUGUCGCGUGCGGGUCGAGGAAAUCCGUGGGAAAAGCCGCUGCCUCGCGCGCGGGUGCGUGCGUGCAUGUACCUCGUGUUACAAAACGCACGCAAGGCCGCAAGGUGCCUAGCUUGCUGUCGCGAUCGGCUCUUGCGUUUGGCAAGCGUAUCGUGUAUGUAGGUGCAAGGCCCGGUUAGAGAGUCUGUACUCCUUUUACAAGAUGUGGAAGUUAGGUCAACGGGGGCUGGGGCCACGGGCACGACGGGGCACUAUACGACUUCGACAUGGUAGUGCUGUUUUUUUGUUCUGGAAACGUGCAGGAUAGGACCGCCCGGGCCACCAACUGUAACCCACCACCCUUGAACUCAAAACUGUACUCUAGUGUCCCCCUCGAGAUCUCUUACGAAGAAAAGGUCCAGACCUGGGAUCAUAAUUCAACUGCUUCUUUUCUAGAGCAAAGAGAAGAAAGUUUGAAGAAAUUGCGCCCGAAGUCUUUUUUUUUUCUUUUUUCUUUUUACGAAAAUUGCGCUCGAAGUCUCGAUCGAUAUGGCCAGGUUGUGCAACAAAAAGGAGUGGGAAACCAUAUCAACUGGGCCUCUGAUAUAGCGUGCUGCUAUCUGGGGAUAUUUAAGUUGGGCCGAAGGCUCAGAUUGUAAAGAGGACUUCUGGGCCAACAGCAAGUGCAGCGAGAAGAAGAGUUAGCAACAGCUCCCCCUCAACAAAAAAAUUAGUAGCAACAACUUUGAGGGGAAAAUUCUAUAUAGCUUCCUACACAACUUCUGGUGUUUGAAAUUUGUGCGGAUUAGGCUCUGUUUAUUUUGGACAACCAAAAUCACUGUGCAGCACUGUAACGUACUGUAGCGUUUCGUUUGUAUUUGUAAAUUAUUGUCCAAACAUUGACUAAUUAGGUUCAAAAGAUUCGUCUCGCAAAGUACAAUAAAAUUGUGCAAUUAUUUUUUGAUUUUGUCUAUAUUUAGUACUCCAUGCAUGUACCGCAAGUUUGAUGUGACGAAGAAUCCUUUUUGCAUAGUGCCAAAGUUAGUAUUUUGGGAAUGCCUUAGAAUGAACGAGCAUGAGUGCACAUGGCGAGAGAGUAGGCAGCAACGUUCUGGGGGCAUUUGGUUACUUUUGCUUAUUUUAGCACGUGUCACAUCGAAUGUUUAGAUACUAAUUAGGAGUAUUAAACGUAGACUAUUUACAAAAUCCAUUAAAUAAGUGAAGGCUAAACAGCGAGACGAAUCUAUUAAGCCUAAUUAA